GCGGACCCAAAUGAAAAAUAGGAGGUGCGCAAGUUCAUAUCAUGAUUAAGACUCAUGCAAAGUUUUAUGAAUCUAUAUCAAAUACUUUUUGAGCUAGGCAUGUCACAAGGUAAAAAUGUGCAUUUUUGACUAUUUCAGGGGCCAAAACUCUGAAAAUAGGGGGCGGACCCAAAUGAAAUAUAGGAAGUGCGCAAGUUCAUAUCAUGAUUAAGACUCAUGCAAGGUUUCACGAAUCUAUAUCAAAUACUUUUUGAGCUAGGCGUGUCACUAGGUGAAAAUGUGCAUUUUUGACUAUUUCAGGGGCCAUAACUUUAAAAAUAGGGGGUGGAGCCAGCCAAAUUAGAGGUAUGCAAGUUUAUAUCAUGAAAAAGACUUAUGCAAAUUUUUAACCAUUUAUAUUAAAUACUUUUUGAGGUAGGUGCAUCACAAGAUGAAAAUGUGCAUUUUUGACUAUUUCAGGGGCCAUAACUCUAAAAAAAGGGGGCGGACCCAAAUGAAAAAUAGGAGGUGCGCAAGUUCAUAUCAUGAUUAAGACUCAUGCAAAGUUUCAUGAAUCUAUAUCAAAUACUUUUUGAGCUAGGCAUGUCACAAGGUGAAAAUGUGCAUUUUUGACUAUUUCAGGGGCCAAAACUCUGAAAAUAGGGGGCGGACCCAAAUGAAAUAUAGGAAGUGCGCAAGUUCAUAUCAUGAUUAAGACUCAUGCAAGGUUUCAUGAAUCUAUAUCAAAUACUUUUUGAGCUAGGCGUGUCACUAGGUGAAAAUGUGCAUUUUUGACUAUUUCAGGGGCCAUAACUAUGAAAAUAGGGGGCGGAGCCAGAUGAAAAAAAAAGAGGAGCGCAAGUUCAUUUCAUAAUCAAGACUCAUGCAAGGUUUCAUAAAUCUAUAUCAAAUAUGUUUUGAGCUAGGCAUGUCACAAGGUGAAAAUGUGCAUUUUGACUAUUUCAGGGGCCAUAACUCUGAAAAUAGGGGGCGGAGCCAGAUGAAAAAUAGGAGGUGCGCAAGUUCAUAUCAUGAUUAAGACUGACGGACGAACGCACGGAUGCACGGACAAGACCAAAUCUAUAUGCCCCCUCCACUCAUGGGGUGGGGGGAGGGGGGCACAAAAAUUCUAAAAUCUUACAAAAGACUUAUUCAUAUAUUGCAUUUGUUUAAAUUAUUGAUAAAAUUGAACGGACUAUAAGCAUUACCUUAUUCCCAGGUGUACGAUUAACCUAGUAAUAGAAAGAGCAUUGAAACUCGUGGGUAAACGAUUUGUACGAGGGGGAGUAGCCCCCGAGUAUAAAUCGUUUACCCGAGAGUUUUAAUGUUCUUUCUGUUUUGUAUCAUAGCCAUCCAUAUAUGGUAGAUGUAGGCGUUCCACAUUGCCAUAUACAGCUGUUCAGUGAGUACUUAAAAUCUUUGCUUUACAAAAUUUGUGUUAAGCCCAGGUAAAAAAAAAAACAAUGCUAGAGCAGAAAAUCAAUAAAAUACACUUCGCUGUCUACUGUUCCAGACAGCUGGCAUACUUUCCUAUCCAACAGUGCGGUAACUAGCGUGCGGGUAUUAAAUACCUGCACCCUGUACUCAGUGUAUACGAAUUACCUGCACCAAAUUUGUUAAGAAAAAACACCGAGCUAUGAUACAAUUCAUAGUUAUUCCCCUGUUUAUUAUUAUUAUUAUUAUUAUUAUUAUUUUUUAUUUUUUUGGAUUGGUAGUCAUUGACCUGCGCUGCCCAUGUCGCCGAUAUCGUGCCAGUAUAGAAAACCAUAUCGGUCCGACAUCGGCGCGAUGUGAAAUGCUUGCUGGAAUUUCUGAGUUCCUCAAGGGGAGGUGGGAGAGGGAAUCGCACUGAGCCUUACCUAUGCACCAAAUACGGCAGCACUACACAAAAAGAAUUAUUUCUAUGCAAUAGCUGUGAUGGAACAUACAACUGGCAGAAGUGUGUAAGAGCCCAUGAAAGAAAGCACAGGCGGUCAACACUAAAUAGGUUCGACAGCAGUAUGGUCGAAGAUAAAAGCCUAUCACCUAAUACAUAGGAAAAACAAACAUUUUUAUUAAACAAUUACAUUUUACUACAUAAAUGUAUUAUGAGCAGUGAUGUAACAUUAUCCAUUAGCCAUGUAGCUCUUGGAAACAUUUAGUAGAGCUUCUGGCCUGGGUGCCGGGGGUCAUGGGUUUGCUUACCGUCAGCGUCAUACCAAAGGCUUUACACAAUCGUACCAAUAGUUCCUUUCCUUGGCACUCAGUAGGAAAAAUAGCUCCCCAUCUCUCAAACCCUUGUGGCGAAGAUCUAUGCCACCAGAAAUGAUUGAGGUGUGGAGAAUAAUUUAUUUGUUUUAUAUUAUGUUUUAUUUCAUAACUUUACUUGUUUCACAAGCAAACCUAAAAUAAACUAGUGUAAACUAG